GCAGAAAUGGUGGAAUGGUAGACACGACAGACUUAAAAUCUGUUGAGGCGUAAGCCUUGUGCGGGUUCAAGUCCCGCUUUCUGUA
rnacentral:tRNA from 2 species